UACGGAGGGGGCAAGCGUUAUCCGGAUUCACUGGGUUUAAAGGGUGCGUAGGUGGGCAGGUAAGUCCGUGGUGAAAUCCUAUAGCUUAACUAUAGACCUGCCAUGGAUACUAUUUGUCUUGAAUGUCGUAGAGGUAAGCGGAAUAUGUCAUGUAGCGGUGAAAUGCUUAGAUAUGACAUAGAACACCAAUUGCGCAGGCAGCUUACUAUGCGAUGAUUGACACUGAGGCACGAAAGCGUGGGUAGCAAACAGG
rnacentral:rRNA from 1 species